rnacentral:misc_RNA from 1 species
GCGGUCUCUGCUGAAGAGAGAAGAUGGCGCUUGACGGACCAGAGCAGAUGGAGCUGGAGGAGGGGAAGGCAGGCAGCGGACUCCGCCAAUAUUAUCUGUCCAAGAUUGAAGAACUCCAGCUGAUUGUGAAUGAUAAGAGCCAAAACCUCCGGAGGCUGCAGGCACAGAGGAACGAACUAAAUGCUAAAGUUCGCCUAUUGCGG